CCUACGGGGAGCAGCAGUGAGGAAUAUUGGUCAAUGGGCGCGAGCCUGAACCAGCCAAGUCGCGUGAGGGAAGACGGCUCUACGGGUUGUAAACCUCUUUUGCCGGGGAGCAAAGCGAGUCACGUGUGACUCAUUGAGAGUACCCGAAGAAAAAGCAUCGGCUAACUCCGUGCCAGCAGCCGCGGUAAUACGGAGGAGGCGAGAGUUAUCCGGAUUUAUUGGGUUUAAAGGGUGCGCAGGCGGAGGUGCAAGUCAGCGGUCAAAUUGCGGGGCUCAACCCCGUACUGCCGUUGAAACUGCAUCCCUUGAGUGCGCGAGAAGUAUGCGGAAUGCGUGGUGUAGCGGUGAAAUGCAUAGAUAUCACGCAGAACUCCGAUUGCGAAGGCAGCAUACCGGCGCGCAACUGACGCUCAUGCACGAAAGCGUGGGUAUCGAACAGGAUUAGAUACCCCAGUAGUC
rnacentral:rRNA from 1 species